CUUGAUUUCAUAUAUAACGAUAGACUAAAGUAAUCUUCGGUACGCCGAAGAUUUAAUGCUCUUGCAGACAUUCGCCUCAUAUUGUGUCCAUGAUGACGACUUGGAUGAUGCUGUUGGUGGUCAUCUGGCAAAUUAUGAUUUUUCACUUUAUUUCUGUGCCCUUCGACUAUGAAAAAGUUUGUUACAAUUACAA